rnacentral:rRNA from 1 species
AUUGAACGCUGGCGGCAUGCCUUACACAUGCAAGUCGAACGGUAACGGGCCUUCGGGUGCCGACGAGUGGCGAACGGGUGAGUAAUGCAUCGGAACGUACCUUUCAGUGGGGGAUAACGUAGCGAAAGUUACGCUAAUACCGCAUAUUCUGUGAGCAGGAAAGCAGGGGAUCGCAAGACCUUGCGCUGAUUGAGCGGCCGAUGUCAGAUUAGCUAGUUGGUGAGGUAAAGGCUCACCAAGGCGACGAUCUGUAGCGGGUCAGAGAGGAUGAUCCGCCACACUGGGACUGAGACACGGCCCAGACUCCUACGGGAGGCAGCAGUGGGGAAUUUUGGACAAUGGGGGCAACCCUGAUCCAGCCAUGCCGCGUGAGUGAAGAAGGCCUUCGGGUUGUAAAGCUCUUUCGGCCGGGAAGAAAUCGCACAGGCUAAUACCUUGUGUGGAUGUCGGUACCGGAAUAAGAAGCACCGGCUAACUACGUGCCAGCCGCCGCGGUAACAC